rnacentral:lncRNA from 1 species
UUGCAGAGAUGGUUAUAAAACCGGCUGAAACUGGCCAAAACUGAAUUUAAACGGCCAGGCCGAGGCAAAACACCACCGUGGGUGGCAGUGUCGUCGUGCCAGAACCCCAAAAUUGGUUGAAAUAAGAUUUUUAACACCAAUUUUAGAUUUUUAGGGUAUUUUAGGUACGUAAAGUGUGUUUUAAUCUUCACAGAAAAAUUCAGAAAACUUGAAAACUGCCAGUAAAUACAGUAAAAAGUUCAGUAUUUCGAACACCGAUUCAGGUAAGAAUCCCUCACCUUAUUCUCUGUUAUGGAAUUAGAGUUUAAUAAUCGAUAAUAUGAUAUUUUGUGUAAUUUAAAAAACUUUAAGAAUAAUUACAAGUUAUUAAUGGGGUCAGAACUGGUUAGUUGUUCAUUUGUCAUGUUUAACUGAUUGUUGAAUUUACAGCUUU